AUGAAGUCACGACCGAACCGCCCUACAUCAUCCACAAAGCUCAAAUCGCGCAUAAACCUCCGACCUCCGUCGCGCUCAGCCACUCUCAACAGAAAUCCCUACGCCAGAAACAACAUGCACCAUCGUCGAAGAACCCGACGAAACUCUCGUCGCCACGAAAACCCAAAAGGAGGGCUUACUUAUGGAUCUGAUAUUUGUGAGGAAAAAGAAAUGAAGCUUGAGAUGAGAAAUUGA